rnacentral:rRNA from 1 species
CCUACGGGAGGCUGCAGUCGAGAAUCAUUCACAAUGGGGGAAACCCUGAUGGUGCGACGCCGCGUGAGGGAAUGAAGAUCUUCGGAUUUUAAACCCCUGUCAUGUGGGAGCAAAUUAAAAUAAUAGUACCACCAGAGGCAGAUACGGCUAACUCUGUGCCCGCAGCCGCGGUAAUACAGAGGGCUCAAGCGUUGUUCGGAAUCACUAGGCGUAAAGCGUGCGUAGGCUGUUUCGUAAGUCGUGUGUGAAAGGCGCGGGCUCAACCCGCGGACGGCACAUGAUACUGGGAGACUAGAGUAAUGGAGGGGGAAGCGGAAUUCUCGGUGUAGCAGUGAAAUGCGUAGAUAUCGAGAGGAACACUAGUGGCGAAGGCGGGUUACUGGACAGUAACUGACGCUGAGGCACGAAGGCCAGGGGAGCGAAAGGGAUUAGAUACCCCAGUAGUC